rnacentral:rRNA from 1 species
AGAAUUUGAUCUUGGUUCAGGACGAACGCUGGCGGCGUGCUUAACACAUGCAAGUCGAGCGAUGAAGUUUCUUCGGGAAAUGGAUUAGCGGCGGACGGGUGAGUAACACGUGGGUAACCUGCCUCAUAGAGGGGAAUAGCCUUUCGAAAGGAAGAUUAAUACCGCAUAAGAUUGUAAUGUCGCAUGACAUAGCAAUUAAAGGAGUAAUCCGCUAUGAGAUGGACCCGCGUCGCAUUAGCUAGUUGGUGAGGUAACGGCUCACCAAGGCGACGAUGCGUAGCCGACCUGAGAGGGUGAUCGGCCACAUUGGGACUGAGACACGGCCCAGACUCCUACGGGAGGCAGCAGUGGGGAAUAUUGCACAAUGGGGGAAACCCUGAAUGCAGCAACGCCGCGUGAGUGAUGAAGGUCUUCGGAUUGUAAAGCUCUGUCUUUAGGGACAAUAGUGACGGUACCUAAGGAGGAAGCCACGGCUAACUACGUGCCAGCCGCGGC